GACGAACGCUGGCGGCGUGCCUAAUACAUGCAAGUUGAGCGCUGAAGGUUGGUACUUGUACCAACUGGAUGAGCAGCGAACGGGUGAGUAACGCGUGGGGAAUCUGCCUUUGAGCGGGGGACAACAUUUGGAAACGAAUGCUAAUACCGCAUAAAAACUUUAAACACAAGUUUUAAGUUUGAAAGAUGCAAUUGCAUCACUCAAAGAUGAUCCCGCGUUGUAUUAGCUAGUUGGUGAGGUAAAGGCUCACCAAGGCGAUGAUACAUAGCCGACCUGAGAGGGUGAUCGGCCACAUUGGGACUGAGACACGGCCCAAACUCCUACGGGAGGCAGCAGUAGGGAAUCUUCGGCAAUGGACGAAAGUCUGACCGAGCAACGCCGCGUGAGUGAAGAAGGUUUUCGGAUCGUAAAACUCUGUUGGUAGAGAAGAACCUUGGUGAGAGUGGAAAGCUCAUCAAGUGACGGUAACUACCCAGAAAGGGACGGCUAACUACGUG
rnacentral:rRNA from 1 species